rnacentral:rRNA from 1 species
CAAUACAGAGAGAAGCAGACGGGUGAGUUCACGUGGGAACGAAACUUUUGGUUCGGAACAACACAGGGAAACUUGUGCUAAUACCUGCCAAGCCCUUACGGGGAAAGAUUUAUCGCCGAAGGAUCGGCCCGCGUCUGAUUAGCUAGUUGGUGGGGUAAUGGCCCACCAAGGCGACGAUCAGUAGCUGGUCUGAGAGGAUGAUCAGCCUCACUGGGACUGAGACACGGCCCAGACUCCUACGGGAGGCAGCAGUGGG